ensembl:lncRNA
GGGGGCGUGGCGGCAUUGGCCGGCGGAGUCUGGUCGCGGGUCGUUCGGCUCAAGUACAGCGCGCGCCCCCAUGGUGAGGUGCGGCCUGCUGGCCCGACCGGCAGGUCAGAGCGAAAGGGAGGCACAGCGCAGGGCUCUUAGGGCGCCCGGCGGCAGCCGCCUCCUUCUACGGCCAUACCACCCUGAACGCGCCUGAUCUCGUCUGAUCUCGAGGGCUCACAUUUGAUGGUGGUCUUGUCAUCUCCUACCUCUUUCUCGUAAAGCUGGCAGCUGAGGGAAUGAGGCAGCGUGGCGGGAAUGCAGGGGCUGGAUUCUGCUACAGUCAGGACUUGCUCCUGAUGUGCUUCGGGUUUACCUGCACGAAUUCUCCAGAUGUUUAUACAGCAUCCAGUAUACAACAAAGACUACAUUUUGAACUCGAUGGAAUCUUUACUCUGUUAAUACUUGUUACAUGGACCCGAAGAUAUUACAGGGUUUUUAAUUAGUGAAAAAUUCAUGAAUACCAUAGAGAAAAUAUUUUAGAAUUUAAUGUUUCUGAUAUUUAUGUAAACUUAUGACUUCAUUUAUAUAAUUACUUCCUUUUUCUUGUAUAUUCAGGCUAUGAAUAUCCUUUCAGAUCAAUUUCAUGUUCUGAUACCUGAUUUCAGUCUUUCAAAUGAAUGUACUGUAGUGCUUGUCUGUAUAAAUCCUAUGAACAAACACAGGGCUUUUGUAAAUGAUGCAUUUAUUGUAAUUAUUCUUGUUUAAUUUUUCAAUGUUAAACCAUGAGAGAAGGGGUUUUCCUGCGAUUGUAAAAUCAUCAUGACACGGUGUGCUUUAUUAUCCUUCCAGAAUGUAACCAAGCUCUCCAACAAUCACUCUGAAAUAAGCAAACUUAAUUUCAACCAAUUGUUGUUGGAUGUUAACGACUGGCCUAAACUGUACUUUUUCUAGCAAGAAAUGCUUUUUGUCCACAGCGUGAAGUGAUUUAAAAGUACUGGGUGUUAAAUGUGAGCUUCUAAUGAAAUUUGGGCUGAAAGGAUGCCUAGAAGAAGACUGAAAAUCUCUCCUGUAACCCAGUCUCUGUGGACCUGGAUCCCUCCUCUCCGGUGAGACUCUUUGGGGACCAAUCGCGAUGCCCUGCACCCGCUGCAGAGCCAUCGAGCUGGACAGUGAAGGUGCCACUUCCCAGACAGACAGGGUAGUGUAGCUCUGACAAAGGCCUUAUUUUUAUGUAAAUCAUCUUUUUACAUGAUUGUAAACAUGUUUAAAGAAUGGACCUAGGCGUACAUUUUUAGAUUGUGAUGACAUAGCCAUUCUGGAUUGUAUAAGUAGCAAAUGUAAUUUUUACUUUUUCAGCGGCACAUUAAAAAAGCCAGCAAGAGAUGCGUUCAGGUCACAGUGUGAUAUUUAUUAUGCAGCUGGUAUCUUGGUAGACAGAGACAGCAUGUUUCUUUACAUGUGGGUUCCGCCUUUAAUUUACUUGUACAAUUCAUUGUUAUCAUUCUAUUUUCCUAUUAAUCUUUUGUGAACUUCCCGAAUAUGUGACAAAGUAUGUACAGUCUACUUUUGAACUAUUUUUAUCACAGUAUUAUUUAUUGCUUUCUUUCAAUAAAGUACUGAAGCAAAAUUUCCCA